AUUUGUCGGAGGUAGCUAAAUGUUGUGUAAUCAUUUUUUUGUCAUUGUGGGCAGGACUUUACUUUUUGUUCUUCACAAACCAAUUUUGUACAUGGAAUAAUUACACAGAUGGACAACGCCAGGGUUUCCAUAGAAACAUGCGAUCAAGUUUGCGUUCAACGCUUUGUUUACAUGCUAACGCGCUCAGGCUGGUGACAUUCAGAAGCAGAGAGAGGAGUACGAAAGGAUGAAAUGAGAUCUCCAACAUAAGGCCCAGGAGGUGGAGGGAGAGCUGGCUAUACGGAACCAGUUGAAGCUGCUCUCUAAUGAGACAGAGGUCCACUCCCAGGCCUAGGCUGUGGAGGCCCUGAAGGCCUCAGAGGAUCUCUGUCAGCACACACAGCUACAGCACAGAGACUGGGAGAUAAAGGACAUCACCUCCGUCAAGGACGCACUUAAAACGAUUCAUGCCAGCCUUAUUUCCCAUUGUCAUUUCAAAGGAGCUAGAAGACAAACUAAAAGCUAUGCAGACCAAGAGGAAGAGAGAGAAGGAGAGAGGAAGGGAGAGGAGGGGAGAGGAGGAGAGAGGAAGAAUUAUACAAUAAGAAGGGAGUCCUAGAUCUUACCACUACUACUAUACAAAUGCAACAGACAGAGGCACAAAGAAAGACCAAUUAGCAGCAUAGGAGUAGAAGUCCUAGACUAAUGGUGGUCUAUUGGAUGGUGUCUUGAUGUUCCUAUCUGUAGGCAUGAUGAAUUGGACCGGGGAGUGCGUGAGAGAGAGGCUCAGCUGGAUGCAUUACGGGACGCUUACAGAGAACAGCUACAACUGGCAGAGACAGAUACCGAUCAUCUACGGUCACAACUGGACGCUAUUCCAACACACACACAUGCAGGCCCCGGAGAGACCACAAGGAAAUAAUGCGAAACAGACACACACAGUGUCUCACCUGUCUAUGUGUGUGUUUAUUCUGUGUUAACUGGGUCUGUGUUUUGACUGUGUGAGUGUGUGUGUUUUAUCCAUGAUGUGUGUUUUUUUCUGGUCCAAGGCCCUGGAUGAUCACAGUGUUUGUACAUGCUCAGAGUGUGUGAGAGUGUGUCUUCAGCUUUCCCACCCGGCCCGAAAUGUAUAAAUUAUAUAUUUUCUAAACAGAGACCAGUUCCGAAUGAACCAGACGACAGUCAGACCUGUUCCGAAUUAACCGGACGACAGUCAGACCUGUUCUGAAUUAACCAGACGACAGUCAGACCUGUUCCGAAUGAACCGGGCGACAGUCAGACCUGUUCCGAAUGAACCGGGUGACAGUCAGACCUGUUCCGAAUGAACCGGGUGACAGUCAGACCUGUUCCGAAUGAACCGGGCGACAGUCAGACCUGUUCAGAAUGAACCGGGCGACAGUCAGACCUGUUCAGAAUUAACCAGAUGACAGCCAGACCUGUUCCGAAUUAACCCGGGCGACAGUCAGACCUGUUCCGAAUGAACCGGGCGACAGUCAGACCUGUUCCGAAUGAACCGGGUGACAGUCAGACCUGUUCCGAAUGAACCGGGUGACAGUCAGACCUGUUCAGAAUGAACCGGGCGACAGUCAGACCUGUUCCGAAUGAACCGGGCGACAGUCAGACCUGUUCCGAAUGAACCGGGUGACAGUCAGACCUGUUCCGAAUGAACCGGGUGACAGUCAGACCUGUUCCGAAUGAACCGGGUGACAGUCAGACCUGUUCCGAAUGAACCGGGCGACAGUCAGACCUGUUCAGAAUGAACCGGGCGACAGUCAGACCUGUUCCGAAUGAACCGGGUGACAGUCAGACCUGUUCCGAAUGAACCGGGUGACAGUCAGACCUGUUCCGAAUGAACCGGGCGACAGUCAGACCUGUUCCGAAUGAACCGGGCGACAGUCAGACCUGUUCAGAAUGAACCGGGCGACAGCCAGACCUGUUCCGAAUGAACCGGGUGACAGUCAGACCUGUUCAGAAUGAACCGGGCGACAGUCUGACCUGUUCCGAAUGAACCGGGCGACAGUCAGACCUGUUCCCGAAUGAACCGGGUGACAGUCAGACCUGUUCCGAAAGGCCCAUGGAAAAAUAAACCCAUGCUGAUUUGGCCUACUUGUCCUUAAAAACUGUCUACAACAAUUACUAAAAACUAUUAGUUGUGUUUGGAUGUGUAGCCUGUGGUUCAAAACUUUAUAGUCUAUUGUUUUAUUGGUUUGUACAAUAAUUAUUCUCCACCUCACGGUUCAGCUGCUAGAGAUUUGAGCUGUAAAUGCAUAAGGCCUAUAUUUCAAAAGUGAAUAUAAAGGAAGAGGAGUUUAGGCCUAACCCUAAAGAGACCGAGAGGAAGAUAGAGAUAUGUCGGCGACAUGUUCAACACCGACAUGCAUUUCU